AAACAGACUCCAUGAGGGUGGUAUGAAGGCCUGACGUCCAUAGGUGGGGGUUGUGCUCACAGCCCAACACUGUGCAGGACAUUUGGCAUUUGCCAGAGAACACCAAGAUUGGCAAAUUCACCACUGGCGCCCUGUGCUCUUCACAGAUGAAAGCAGGUUCACACUGAGCACACGUGACAAAGUCUGGAGAUGCUGUGGAGAAUGUUCUGCUGCCUGCAAC